rnacentral:lncRNA from 1 species
GGAGGGCCUGGGCUUGGUCCACAGCACUAAGAAAUAGUAGAGACACCUACUGGACUUGUUGUUGUUGUUGUUAAAAAUCUGGCUAGUUACUGUUUAUAAGAAACAUCCCAGGGCUGGCGAGAUGGCUCAGUGGGUAAGAGCACUGACUGCUCUUCCAAAGGUCCUGAGUUCAAAUCCCAGCAACCACAUGGUGGCUCACAACCAUCCGUAAUGAGAUCUGACGCCCUCUUCUGGUGUGUCUGAAGACAGCUACAGUGUACUUACAUAUAAUAAAUAAAUAAAUCUUAAAAAAAAAAAAAAAAGAAACAUCCCAGGGCAGGAAUGUUUAAAUGUAAGAUUAGAAAGAAAGAAAGAAAGAAAGAAAGAAAGAAAGAAAGAAAGAAAGAAAGAAAGAAAGAAAGAAACUCCAGGUCAUACCAUGAAUGAGAAUUGUGUGCCUGGCGCCAGGUAUGGUGAAACUCUAUUAGAAUCUGAACCCUGUAGACCCAUUGUUUUUUUUUUUUUGUUUUGUUUUGUUUUGUUUAAAAAAAAAAAAAAAGCUACAUAUACCGGAAGGAACCAGGUCUGAUGCUGCCUGACACCAGAGGCACCACACACAAGAAGCCAUACUCUAAAAAAACCUGUCCCUUUUGAGUUUCCUCAGCCUCAAGAGCAUCUGGAAGACAAGGUCAUUCCACCUGCACCUUCAAAAUUCUCUUCAGACAAUCAAAAGGAUGCCAGAACUUCUUAGAUGCAGAGCCUGAAGAGUCUCACGUCUGAGCUCAACAGAUAAAAUAGUGAGGUUGGCUGUGUACUGUAGGACUGACGGCCCCAGGGGGAGCCUGCCUGAUGGUCAGAGAGAUGCUUUCCUGUGCUUUCCAGAAUUGCCACAUGGCCUGCAGGAGAAAGGCAGUGCUAGGCACGUGACCUCAGAGGCUUCCGUAUGGGACAUAAGUAACCCUGUCCUUUGCCGAGUGCUAGUGCCAAGCUUCCGAACAUUUCUCUGUUUGGGGUGCUUCCUCCCUGGGAGCUAUCUUCUUUCUUAAUAUAUUCUUCAACCUUAUUUUCUUCUGUUCACGUGUCUCUGUCCAAUUCCCUGUUGCAGAUACAGAAACCCAGACCCCUAGUGGGCACCCACGGAAACGCAGCAUCCGUAGGAUCAGCACUGGUCAACAGCCAAGAUAUCCCUGCUUCCGGUUGAGAACGCCAAUCCUGUGUCGAGGCUGGACCCUGGCAGAGACUAUAGAGACACACACUGAUGACGAUUAACUCCGUGGGGAAUGCAGAGGCUCACUUCUUUAUUUUUAAACUGGUGAGUGUGGGAGUCAAAUCCUGGCGCUCAUGUGUGCCCUCUACUAGUGAGCUACACCAUCUUUUUUACAAAUGCACACACGCGUGAGCUCACCAACACACAGUGCUAAAAGGAUUAAAAUAUGUGGGGAAAGGACUAUUCAGUGAGUUGUGCUGAGACAAUCAGAACUCUGUCGGAGGGAACAAAGUGGCUCAGCCACAAAGCCUAUACCAGAAAAACUCCAGACGGUUAAAGGAUGUGGGUAAAUGUAAGGCAAGACCUUGAAAGUACUGAAGGAAACGCAGGAGAAUUUCUUCACAGCUGGAAUAAAGAGGCCUUUGUAGUUAUACUACAAAGUUCAGCUCAACAGAAAACAAGCAGGCCACCACAGUGCUUGGGCAAAGACAAGAAGGAAAAGCAUCUCUGGGCUGAGGGUGGAGCUCAGGUGUAGAGAGAGCUUGUCAGCAUAAAUAAGACUCGAAGUAUGUCCGGGUGCGGUGAUGCACGCCUUCAAUCCCAGCACACCAGAGGAGAGGCAGGCAGAUCUCUGAAGUCGAGGCCAGCUUCCUGGUCGAGAGUGAGUCCCAGGGCAUCCAGGGCUACACUGAAAAACCCUGUCUUGAAAAAAAUAAAACAAACAACACCUCUUCCCCCCCCCCCAAAAAAAAAAAGAAAGGAAGGAAGGGAGAGAGAGAGAAAGAGAGAGAGGAAGAAAAGGAAGGAAGGAAGAGAGAAAGAGAGAAAGAGAGAAAGAG